rnacentral:rRNA from 1 species
CAGCCGCCGCGGUAAAACCAGCACCUCAAGUGGUCAGGAGGAUUAUUGGGCCUAAAGCAUCCGUAGCCGGUUCUGUAAGUUUCCGGUUAAAUCCACUAGCUCAACUAAUGGGCUGCCGGAAAUACUGCAGAACUAGGGAGUGGGAGAGGUAGACGGUACUCGGGAGGAAGGGGUAAAAUCCUUUGAUCUCUUGAUGACCACCUGUGGCGAAGGCGGUCUACCAGAACACGUUCGACGGUGAGGGAUGAAAGCUGGGGGAGCAAACCGGAUUAGAUACCCGGGUAGUCCCAGCUGUAAACGAUGCAGACUCGGUGAUGCACUGGCUUUUGGCCAGUGCAGUGCCGCAGGGAAGCCGUUAAGUUUGCCGCCUGGGAAGUACGUACGCAAGUAUGAAACUUAAAGGAAUUGGCGGGGGAGCACCA